rnacentral:tRNA from 1 species
AGCUCAGCUGGAUAGAGCAAUGGCCUUCUAAGCCAUCGGUCGGGGGUUCGAAUCCCUCCCAGG